CCUACGGGAGGCAGCAGUAGGGAAUCUUCCACAAUGGACGAAAGUCUGAUGGAGCAACGCCGCGUGAGUGAAGAAGGGUUUCGGCUCGUAAAGCUCUGUUGGUAGUGAAGAAAGAUACAGGUAGUAACUGACCUUUCUUUGCCGGUAAUUACUUAGAAAGUCCCGGCUAACUACGUGCCAGCAGCCGCGGUAAUACGUCGGUGGCAAGCGUUGUCCGGAUUUAUUGGGCGUAAAGGGAGUGCAGGCGGUUCAAUAAGCCUGAUGUGAAAGCCUUCGGCUCAACCGGAGAAUUGCAUCAGAAACUGUUGAACUGGAGUGCAGAAGAGGAGAGUGGAACUCCAUGUGUAGCGGUGGAAUGCGUAGAUAUAUGGAAGAACACCAGUGGCGAAGGCGGCUCGCUGGACUGCAACUGACGCUGAGGCUCGAAAGCAUGGGUAGCGAACAGGAUUAGAUACCCGAGUAGUC
rnacentral:rRNA from 1 species